rnacentral:lncRNA from 1 species
AACACUAUGUAGACUGAGGAGCCUCUGACCAACUCAGCUUCUGAAAAAAAUCCAAACCUGUCCCUGCAGUUUCGGCUGUGCUGUUUCCGGAGUCAAGUAUUGAGGUUGAAGGAGGCUGAUUAGGCCUGGUCUGUGGCAGAAUGGUGCCCAAGCAGGGACCUCUGGACAGUCUGGGAUGUCUUUGGCAUCUUCAUCUGCAUACCUUCUUUUGCUGCAGGAACACUCUGCUUGUAACAAGUACCACCUCAAUGGGGACCCGAAAUCUACUACAGCCUAGGAGAGCGAGGACCUACAGAAGCCCUGAGUGAGAAUAAUGGGAUGGAAAUCAGGGCAGGCUCUGCAGUACCUCAAGCUGGUGCAUCAUUUCUUAAAGGAGGACCAAAACUGCCAGAAUAGAAACUGUUAGAUCCUUAUGCUGAUUUCAAAGUUUGUUUUCUACUAGGGAUACAAUUUUUACCAUCUUUUGUCAAAGCUAACUCUUUUCGCAAAGUAGAUAGCUAAUGUUGUAAUGAGGUGAAAUGAUAAUAUAAAUCAUAGCAGUUUUCAGAGUCCAUGUGUAUGUAGUGAAUAAAACUUCCAAAAACUUAUGGAAA